rnacentral:misc_RNA from 1 species
CGGGGUAUUUUGCACAUCCCAGUGUUGAUUGCAAACGCAUUUGAAAAUCGAUUGCCCUCCCUACGCCUGUCUUGAUGUCUGCGACACAGCCCACAUCGAUUCUUGCGUACACCUGCCUCUAGAAUUGAGAAUGGCUUUCAAAACAACGACGAGCGAAAACGAUGAAGGCAAGAUGCCCGCUGUGGCGUCGAUGGACGCGUUCUCGCAGGUGGAGACGGAUUAUGGCAGCGCGCUUAGCGACUUCUCAUGCUUCGGGAAGGAGUUGAUGACACCCGUGAAGCUGUGCACCGGGAAGGGGGUCCUCGACGUGUUCGGCGUGUGCUUCGACGACGGCACUGCUGUGCUGGAGGACUACCACACAGAGCGGAAGGACACGGACCAGAAGUGGGAGCCGUGGCGGCCAACAAAGGACGGAGGUGCGUUCCGGGGCCAGCGCCAGUUCACGUGCACGACGCUGGUGAAGGCGAUGAUGGGGAAGCCGUACGCGUACAUCGAGUACCAGCGCUACGCUCUAUUCAAGGUGAGCGGUGCGCCGACGCUCGCGGUGCAGUUCUCAAGCCAGGUACCCGGUGUGCUGUUUGGUGAUGCAUUCCGCGCGGAGGCGCUUGUGACAUUCACGCAGGCCGGCAGCGGUGCGUCGGCCGAGGUGACGAUGCGUGCGUUCGGGUACGUGCAGUUCCUGAAGAGCGUGUGGGUGAAGGGCCGCAUCUUGGCCACCGCGAUGAACACGGAGCUCCCCGAUGGGCACAAAAAGCUGGCUGCGAUGGUUGCUGCCAAAAUGGCUGGCCAAUCAGGUGGGGCUCCUGCAGCUGCCGACGCGCCCGCGUCUGAUAAGACAGAGAUCGAACCAGAUAAAUGCUCACCACAUCCACCUCUUCUGAGGCCGCAGACGAUUCUCCAGCGCAGGGUUAUGGCUCACGGUACCACAGCUCUGGCUGGCUUAGUUGUCGUGGUGUGUUUGAAAAGCGUUUGGCAGACGUUAGUUCUCACAAGGGCGUCGGCAUCGGAGCUUUGCGCCGCAGCCCGCGGACGUGAGUCAGACCAUCUCGACGCUGUGUGCCAAAUGAUGGUAGCCGAGUGGAACGGUGUGCUAUCUGCAGCGCGGCCGGCGCUGGUAGUCGCCUAUCUCCUCCUCAUCUCCAUCUUCUGCGGAGUCACAUUCAAAGCUGUCGCACUCUCAGAGGCAUAGGGAGAAGGGGGGGAGGCGCCCUCCAGGUGACCGCUUGGCAGCGCUCUGCUGCUUUACACCCCUUGACCGGGGCUCAUCGUUCCCUCCCCCCGUCAGCAACGAGAGCACCUCGCUUAUCUCGUUUUGUGCCUUUGUCUUUACCGCACUUCGCCAAAGGGGGAAAAAAGUUGUACGAACUCUCUCCCAUGCCCGCACGAUAUCGAACCCCUGUCCGAACUCUCCGCGCACCGACACAUCCACACACCCACAAGCUGCUGCUUCGUUUGACAUGUUGUUUCUACCUAUUGCGUUUGCCUCUCAUUCGAUUUGACUGUCACUGCGCGCUUCUAUCUUCGUGCUGCUCGCUGCUAGCAUCAAUGCUGCAUAGAGAUCAACGGCGCUUGACACCCAACGGCAUGCUACCAACAGUAGGACAUACAAGAAAAAAA